rnacentral:rRNA from 1 species
GUAGGUGGCAAGCGUUGUCCGGAAUUAUUGGGCGUAAAGCGCGCGCAGGCGGUUCUUUAAGUCUGAUGUGAAAGCCCACGGCUCAACCGUGGAGGGUCAUUGGAAACUGGAGAACUUGAGUACAGAAGAGGAAAGCGGAAUUCCACGUGUAGCGGUGAAAUGCGUAGAGAUGUGGAGGAACACCAGUGGCGAAGGCGGCUUUCUGGUCUGUAACUGACGCUGAGGCGCGAAAGCGUGGGGAGCAAACAGGGAUUAGAUAACCUGGUAGUCCACGCCGUAAACGAUGAGUGCUAAGUGUUAGGGGGUUUCCGCCCCCUUAGUGCUGCAGCUAACGCAUUAAGCACUCCGCCUGGGGAGUACGGCCGCAAGGCUG